ACCCCCGACCGCCACUCUUACUAUGCCAUGUCUCACGCUGAAGCUCCUGCUUGGUGAGUUGGAUGAGUGGCGAACGGGUGAGUAACACGUGAAUAACCUUCCCUUGACUCUGGGAUAAGCCCGGGAAACUGGGUCUAAUACCGGAUACGACCUCCUAUCGCAUGGUGGGGGGUGGAAAGAUUUAUCGGUUUUGGAUGGACUCGCGGCCUAUCAGCUUGUUGGUGAGGUAAUGGCUCACCAAGGCGACGACGGGUAGCCGGCCUGAGAGGGUGACCGGCUCUACUGGGACUGAGACACGGCCCAGACACAUACGGGAGGCAGCAGUGGGGAAUAUUGCACAAUGGGCGCAAGCCUGAUGCAGCGACGCCGCGUGAGGGAUGACGGCCUUCGGGUUGUAAACCUCUUUCAGUAGGGAAGAAGCUUUCGGGUGACGGUACCUGCAGAAGAAGCGCCGGCUAACUACGUGCCAGCAGCCGCGGUAAUACGUAGGGCGCGAGCGUUAUCCGGAAUUAUUGGGCGUAAAGAGCUCGUAGGCGGUUUGUCGCGUCUGCCGUGAAAGUCCGGGGCUUAACCCCGGAUCUGCGGUGGGUACGGGCAGACUAUAGUGCAGUAGGGGAGACCGGAAUUCCUGGUGUAGCGGUGAAAUGCGCAGAUAUCAGGAGGAACACCGAUGGCGAAGGCAGGUCUCUGGGCUGUUACUGACGCUGAGGAGCGAAAGCAUGGGGAGCGAACAGGAUUAGAUACCCUGGUAGUCCAUGCCGUAAACGUUGGGCACUAUGUGUGGGGGACAUUCCACGUUUUCCGCGCCGCAGCUAACGCAUUAAGUGCCCCGCCUGGGGAGUACGGCCGCAAGGCUAAAACUCAAAGGAAUUGACGGGGGGCCCGCACAAGCGGCGGAGCAUGCGGAUUAAUUCGAUGCAUCGCGAAGAACCUUACCAAGGCUUGACAUGUUCCCGACCGGUCCAGAGAUGGUCUUUCCCCUUUGGGCGGGUUCACAGGUGGUGCAUGGUUGUCGUCAGCUCGUGUCGUGAGAUGUUGGGUUAAGUCCCGCAACGAGCCCAACCUUCGUUACAUGUUGCCAGCGGGUUAUGCCGGGGACCCAUGGGAGAUUUUCGGCGUCAACUCGGAGGAAGGUGGUGAGGACGUUAAAUCAUUAUCCCCGUUAUCUGUUGGCCUUCACGCACGCUACAAUGGCCUGUACAAUGGGUUGCGAUACUGUGAGGUGGAGCUAAUCCCAAAAAGCCGGUAUCAGUUCGGAUUGGGGUUUGCAACUCGACCCCAUGAAGUCGGAGUUGGUAGUAAUCGCAGAUCACCAACGCUGCGGUGAAUACGUUCCCGGGCCUUGUACACACCGCCCGUCAAGUCACGAAAGUCGGUAACACCACGAAGCGCGGAGACCCAACCCAGCGUGCGACCGUCGCGAUGGAGACCCGUUCCGUGUGUGC
rnacentral:rRNA from 1 species